UGACGGUGUGCCCGUCUUCCGGGCAGGUCA
rnacentral:sRNA from 1 species